UUGGAGGGCAAGUCUGGUGCCAGCAGCCGCGGUAAUUCCAGCUCCAAUAGCGUAUAUUAAAGUUGUUGCAGUUAAAAGCUCGUAGUUGAAUUUCGGGACCAAUUUGUUGGUCGUGCCUCGGUACGUACUGGUAUUAUUGGUUUCUCCCUUCUGAAGAACCUCGAUGCCAUUAAUUUGGUGUCGUGGGGAAUCAGGACUGUUACUUUAGAAAAAAUUAGAGUGUUUAAAGCAAGCAUACGCUUGAAUACAUUAGCAUGGAAUAAUGAAAUAGGACGUUUGAUUCUAUUUUGUUGGUUUCUAGGAUCGACGUAAUGAUUAAUAGGGAUAGUUGGGGGCAUUAGUAUUCAAUUGUCAGAGGUGAAAUUCUUGGAUUUAUUGAAGACUAACUACUGCGAAAGCAUUUGCCAAGGAUGUUUUCAUUAAUCAAGAACGAAAGUUAGGGGAUCGAAGACGAUCAGAUACCGUCGUAGUCUUAACCAUAAACUAUGCCGACUAGGGAUCGGAUGAUGUUAAUUUUUAAUGACUCAUUCGGCGCCUUACGGGAAAC
rnacentral:rRNA from 1 species